GAUCAUGACUCAGGAUGAACGCUAGCGACAGGCUUAACACAUGCAAGUCGAGGGGCAGCAUGAGGUAGCAAUACCUUGAUGGCGACCGGUGCACGGGUGAGUAACGCGUAUGCAACCUGCCCGAUACCGGGGUAUAGCCCAUGGAAACGUGGAUUAACACCCCAUAGUACUUUUAUCCUGCAUGGGAUGUGAGUUAAAUGUUCAAGGUAUCGGAUGGGCAUGCGUCCUAUUAG
rnacentral:rRNA from 1 species